GCAGACACAUUCCAGCCAAUCAGCAGCAGACCCUCCCUCCUAGACCCUCCCACCUCCUGGACAGCAUCCAUUUUGAAGCUGCAUUCUUAGUGAGCUGUCCAGGAGUUGGGAGGGUCUGGGAGGGAGGGUCUGCUGCUGAUUGGCUGGAAUGUGUCUG